AUGAAAAUUAUGCAUUUUUGAGCGGUUAGAUCGAAAAGGAAUCGUAUCUUAAGGGGUUAAGGCACACGUUUUAUUCACCCCUGGAAGAAACAGUCGAUGAGAUCGAUGUCGAUUGGUCGCGUAGCGAAGGAACGCCACGUACGUCGCGCGGCGAGUUCCGUAAUUGUGGAAUAUUUUGCAAUUCGUGGAUUGGAAGGCGCCUUUCUCGAAAGAGCGUUGCUGGCAAUGCCGGUCACGUAGGCCCGUAGUUCCGAGGGUGCCCCGAGCACGGCACAGAAUACUAGAAUACUAGCGGCGGGAAUGCGCGGCGAAUACCCGCAACGCGAGUAACCGCUCGUCCGCGAACCAACGAGCCAGCGAGCAAGCGAAUCGUAUGCCCCUCACGCUUCGACGCGCCACCGUAUAUACUUGUGUAUAUAUAUGUACGCGAAUCUAUCGCAGAGGGAUUUCGAUUUUCAACUGAACGGACCAUUACCUCGCCCACGUCGCAAACGAUCGCCUAAAGUCU